rnacentral:rRNA from 1 species
CGUCAAAUCAUCAUGCCCCUUACGUCUUGGGCUACACACGUGCUACAAUGGGCGCUACAAAGAGCGGCAAGACGGUAACGUCGAGCGAAUCUCAAAAAAGCGUUCUCAGUUCAGAUUGAGGGCUGCAACCCGCCCUCAUGAAGCAGGAGUUGCUAGUAAUCGCGAAUCAGAAUGUCGCGGUGAAUGCGUUCCCGGGUCUU